ensembl:lncRNA
AAGCGCAAAACAGAGGUAAGGGUCUGAUCAUAUGACAAAUUGUGCAUAUCAACUUCAUUGAAAGAAAACACCCUGGCAAAUUACUGAAAAAGUCUUAUUUUAGAAUUCACUACAGGUGACAAUUUUCAUAACAUGAAAAAUAUACAUCAGUACUUUGUCUUUGUACAUUAGGCAAGUAAACUGCAAUAUUCCAUCAGAGCCAGAAUUAAAUAAAAAUAAAAAAAAGAGGGGAGAAUUGGGGAUCAAAGAAAAAGGGAGAGAAAAAAAAAACAGGGCACAUACACACUUUCACACCAUUUAAAUCAAACCCCAGAAACGACCAACAACGAAACCUAAAGUUAAAGCAUGCAUUUGAAAUCCUACCUAGUACACCACCAAAAACAAAACAAGUGCUGCAAAUUAAUCUGCUUCAUCCAGAGGAAUACAGGAGAAAUUGCUCCCCACAUCAUCACCCUAACACUCUUUAGAAAAUAACAAAAAUACAAAAUAAAAACAGACAACAGUGGACAACACACCCAAGGUAAGGUUAUUGCUACAAUGAACUGUUACCAAUAUUUGAAUUAUACAUCGUCUUGGUGUGUAAGAUUAUAAAAAAAGAAAAUGCACGCUCAUACAUACACACUCAAGCAAUGUUGUUUAGCAAUUUCCCCAGACUUUUCCAAAACUAACUCUGGUUCAAAACCGGGUGCAAUUGCCAAGCAAUUUAAUAGUAGGCACUUCAGAAAGAAAAAAGACAAAUUUAAAAACAUAACUAUGAGCUUAAUUUGUGCAUGCGUGACUUAAAACGGACACACCUGAACACGACAAAUGGGGGUAAUGUCAGCCAUGGUGGGUGGUGGGGUGGGUCUCAGCGCGGUGUUAAAAUACUAAAUAAAGACGCACGUAUAACCUCAUUCAUUUGUUAAAUGGUGACUUCCAGAAGCUUCCCCUGAAGUGCUUCGGGCGAAGGAACCCAACAGGACAAGUAGGCUACAGAUCUGCGUGUUUUCCAGUGCAUCCACAGACACAAGUGUAGAUACAAUUUUGGCCUUAAAACUCAUGUCAGUCUAGAAACAACCCCUGCACUUCUCCAAUACUGGCAACCUAGAAGAUCAAACUCCAACCAUUCUGCUUUCUACAAGACCCCGUCCAUCAAAGCAACCUGCAACAGACCUAUGCUAGUGCACACUAGAGCGGAGUUUGAUGAGAGAAAUGGACUAAAAACAUAAAGAACUUACAGGGUUUCAAUUCUAACUAGAAAGGCGCCAUUUAAGUGUCUUGCUGGAUGUACAGGAACAGUUAAUAUAUUAUCCGGUUUUAUUUCUGUGCUAUAUACAGAUCUUUACAAUAUCUUCCUGAAAAGGUUGAAGCAUUUCAUAGACUUCAAAAAAUGCAUUAUUAAUCUUUUAUGUAGUUGUUGAGUUGGCACUUGCUUGGCAGCUUUCAGUCAGCCUCUGGUAACUGCUGUUAUGUUCUAUGGCAGGCCUAUUGUUGCCAAACUUUUUCUGCCAAAUGCAAUGAAGACAAGCUGGCAAAUAGGGUGGCAGAGCACAGGAAAACAAUGCCAUGUUGUUUCUCAACUGGAGACCUG